rnacentral:rRNA from 1 species
GAUGAACGCUGGCGGCGUGCCUAAUACAUGCAAGUCGAGCGAACGGACGAGAAGCUUGCUUCUCUGAUGUUAGCGGCGGACGGGGGAGUAACACGUGGAUAACCUACCUAUAAGACUGGGAUAACUUCGGGAAACCGGAGCUAAUACCGGAUAAUAUUUUGAACCGCAUGGUUCAAAAGUGAAAGACGGUCUUGCUGUCACUUAUAGAUGGAUCCGCGCUGCAUUAGCUAGUUGGUAAGGUAACGGCUUACCAAGGCAACGAUGCAUAGCCGACCUGAGAGGGUGAUCGGCCACACUGGAACGGAGACACGGUCCAGACUCCUACGGGAGGCAGCAGUAGGGAAUCUUCCGCAAUGGGCGAAAGCCUGACGGAGCAACGCCGCGUGAGUGAUGAAGGUCUUCGGAUCGUAAAACUCUGUUAUUAGGGAAGAACAUAUGUGUAAGUAACUGUGCACAUCUUGACGGUACCUAAUCAGAAAGCCACGGCUAACUACGUG